ACAAAAUAAUAAUAUAACAUUAUCUACUCACAACAAAUAUAUAUAUUUAUAUAAAAGAUAAAGUGAAUCUGUACGAGUCAAAAUUUAAUUUUACUUAUGUUUUGGUUACAAAGUGUGUAUAAAUCAAGUUCUUCAAACAGAAGAACCAGACUAAUUGGAACUCCAAUACGAAAUUACAUUUGGUUGUACCAGUUUUUUGAAGAUAUUAACCCUGAUGCGAACCCGAUAGAACUUGAACCGGUUCUGAACCGAAAUUUCAUAUAACCAAGUGAGAUUGAUUUUGAUAAAUCCGAAAAACCGAGAUCCGAUUGAGACUAAUUGAAUACUAUAUAUAUAUGUUGCUUUUGCUUUUUCUGGUUUCCCCGUUUCUAGUUGUGGUGUCACUUUGAUCUAUAAUUAGGAUACAAGGAGUAGGGACGAUAGAAAUCAUAUAGUAGUACAAAACUUGUCUUUGUACUAGCUGAGAAGUACAAUGUCGACAUUUCUUUUCUUUCUUUAAUCAGUUUUGGUAGUACACAAAGUCCAUUGUUUCGCUUGUACUAUACAAGACGCAAUACUACAAUUUUCUGUGGUGCUAUUGUGUGUACUACCCAAUCCUUUCGUAAUGUGUGUAUUUAUAGUUCCCAUAGGAAACGAAACUCAAAUUGUAAUAAAUCAAUUAUUGCUGAUUUGAAGAGAUCAAGGUAGAGGAUCUCGACAGGGUCGAUAUGAGAACACAUGUGCAGACAACGGCUGUAAUGACACCACGUCAUUAGAACAAAUCUUUCUUUUCAUGUGUUCUCAGGUCACCCCUGCUGAGCUCCUUCUCUACCCUCCAUCUUUGUCGGCUCCGUUGCUUCAUUCAUUCACAAAAUGGAUCUACUACUUUUAACUGUCUUGCUCUUUGUCCCUCAACAAGAUAGACUGCCAAAGAAACAGAUGAAGAAAGAAACCCACAAUGAGUUCCAUCAAAAUGUUUGUUAUGAUAGUUCUUAGCUUCAGCUUUAAAUGUUAAAGAAAGCUAACCUCACGGAGGAGGCGGAGAGCGGCGGGACGAGUGAACUUCCGGGCAAAGAGGAAACACGAUGCCGGUUUCCCUUUACUAGUACACCAUUCUCGCCGGUACUCCGUUUCAUAGUUGAUAUUGUCGAUUCCCUAUGAGUCCAAUGUGUUUUGUUAGAGUUUCUUUUCCUGUUUUAAGCUUGUUAAAAGAGUUUAAAGCCAUAGUAAUAGAAACGAAGGUACAUAUUGUGAUGGAAAUUUUUAGUUAUGCCAAAAUAUAAUGUUGCUCGCAGUC